ensembl:lncRNA
CUAUUUUCAAGUGGCUCAGAUUUCCAGGAUGGAAAGGAUCCUUUUGAUACAGAUCAAGUUCAGCUUUGAUCAUUAAACCAUUCCCUACUUCCCUGUGAAUUUUCACCAAAGCCAGGAAACUGAGCCAAUGCAUGCACAUCGGCUCAGAGGGUGGGUGCUGUGGAUCAAGGCAGGAGAGAAGCAGGGGAGACAGCAGUCUCCUCUAAGCUGCAUGAAGACACCCCAUUAGGACCAAAAUCCAGGGCGAAAGAGGUACUUUAAAUAGAAAUCAAAUAUCGCUACCCUCUCUUUCUCCCUUUCCACUCCCUUGCAGAUAAACACAUAAGGUUUAUGAUUUGGAUAAAGGUUUGGUUUCUUUCCAAACAUAGAAAUGGGUUUAGAAGACUUCAGUUUCCUGUCUCCUAACUUUCCUGACCACAAAUAUUUUUUAUUGUAAGCCAUGAAAGCAAAGGGUUAUUUAAUAAAUUAACACUUCAAAUGCCUUUAGUUCAAUCCCCAGUUAAUUCUAAGCUCAAUUCUUGGCCUCCUAUUCAUUUAACUCAGGCAGUCCGGCCUCACCUGUCUCUUAAUUCCUUCACCUAGAAAGCUCUAAUUCCUAUCCUUGCUGUAUUUCAUGGUUUUACAAUACUUUAUUGAAUUGCUAUAUUGUAAUGUUUCUGUCUUCCUCCCUCCCCACCCUUCAAAUAAUCCUUUAUAAGGAAGCAUAGACACCGUCUGGAAUGCAGUAAGAUCUGACUUCAGGAGCCCUGGAUCCGGGAACUUGCUGCUGGGAGGCAGAGCCCAGGGGGAGGCACAGGUUGGCCUGUUUGCCAUUUUACAAGCUGAGAAACUGAGGCUCCCAGUGGAACGGCCUACUGUGUGCUGGGCACUGUGCCAAGUGCUGAGACAGAGAAUGAGUGGAUUCAAAGGGCAAGACGGGCAGGGUUUGAGCCAGAAAGAUCCUCGGGGCGUGCUGCAGGAAUAACAGACUGAGCUGGCAGUGCAGAGGAGAGGAGAGGGAAAGAGACAGAGAACAUGUUUUAAGCAGUGUCGCCCAAAAUUCCCUUACUCACAAACCACCUUCAGGAUUUUUGCAUGCCCUAAAACCACCUGUAUUAUUAUUUAUUUAAUAUUUUUCUUUAGAUGAGUCACUUUUUUACUUUAAGUUAGCCUCAUCCCAAGCAAUAAUAUUGGUGAAAGUCACUGUUUAAUGAGCUGCUCUAUAUUUUUCUAAUAUACAUUAAAAUAAGUACAUAACUAUUAAAAUAAAGAAAUGUCCAUCUGGGUACCCCUAGAGAUUAUCCCAGGAAUACCGUCAGUCAUGCCCACAACACACUUCGGGAAGCCCUGCUGUUACAGACUGAAUGCUUGUGCCCCUCCAAAAUUCAUGUUGCAAUCCUAACCCCCAAUGUGAUGGUAUUAGGAGGUGGAGGCUUUGGGAGAUAAUUAGGUCUUGAGGAUGGAACCGUCAUAAAUGUGAUUAGUGCCCUUAUAAGAAGAGACACAAGAGCCAGCUCCAGCUCUCUGUUCUCCACCAUGUGAGGAUGCAGUGAGAAGAUGGCUGUCUGGCAAGGGGGAAGCAGCCCCUUACCAUCCGCUGAAUCUGCCAGCGGCUUGAUCUUGGACGUCUCAGCCUGCAGAACUGUGAGAAAUGAAUGUUUGUUGUUUAAACCAUCCAGUCCGUGGUAUUUUUGUUAUAAAAGCCUGAACUGAUGAAGAUACCUGCUUUAAGAUAUAGAAGAUGAAACCAGGAAGGGGAGGAAAUGAGAAAAAGAUAGCCAGGACUUGGUAUUAGUAGAAAAAGAGUUUCUAAACUGUAUCUGAUCAUGGUGGUGGUGGGUACCUCUUAUCAGUACACACACACCAAAGGAAGCACUGAAGUUGGGUGCACAAGAUGCCUGCAUCCUCUUCUGAUGUCCUUCUGUCCUCAGAGCAGACCCUCCAGGAGACCUAAGGCCCAUACCCUGCAAACCCAGACUGUUUGACAGAAUGCUGGGCCUGGAUAGAUUUGCCCAAAUUCAUUAUGAUCACUGGAACGCCCAUCCACAUCCUAUCAUUGGAGUCCAUAGGAUGAGCUUUCACGGGGAAGAAAAUUGGUGCACAUUGUUACCUUCAGCUCACAGCAACAUAGUAAAUUUACUGCCCACAAAGGAUAGGUACGAUAUCUAUCCAUGCCCCAAGUAUUGAACAUAUUGGUUUGCUAAUUUUCUCUUUUGUUUUAAUUAUUUUAUUGACAUCAUAUUGGUUUACAACAUUGUAUAACUUCAGGUGAACAUUAUUAUAUAUCCGUUUCUGUAAAGAGUGUCUUGUGCUCACCAGAAGUAGUCUAGUUUUUAUAUGUCACCAUACAUAUGUGCCCCUUUACCCCUUUUGCCCACCCCCACACCCCCUUCCCCUCUGGUAACUACUAAUCUGUUCUCUUUGUCCAUGUGUUUGUUUAUCUUCCAUGUUUGAGUGAAAUCGUAUGGUGUUUGUCUUUCUCUGUCUGGCUUAUUGUGCUUAACAUAAUACCCUCUGAGUCCAUCCAUGUUGUUUUAAAAGGGAUAAUUUUUGUCUUUUUUAUGGCUAAGUAGUAUUCCAUUGUGUGUGUGUGUGUGUUGUGUGUGUAUAUCUUCUUUAUCCAUUCAUCAGUUGAUGGGCACUUGGAUUGCUUCCACAUCUUGGCUAUUUUGAAUAAAGCUGCAAUGAACACAGGAGUGCAUAGAUCUCUUUGUAUUGUCGAUUUCAUGUUCUUUGGAUGAAUAUCCACUAGUGGGAUAGCUGGAUCAUAUGGUAUUCCUAUUUUUAAUUUUUUGAGAAAUCUCCAUGCUGUUUUCCAUGGUGGCUGUACCAGUUUGCAUUCCCACCAGCAGUGUAUGAGGGUUACCUUGGGUCCACAUCCUCUCCAACGUUUCUUAUUUUUUAUCUUGUCAAUUAUAGCCAUUCUGAUAGGUAUAAAGUGAUAUGUCAUUGUAGUUUUGAUUUGCAUUUCCCUAAUAAUUAGUGAUGUUGAACAUCUUUUCAUAUGCCUGUUGGCCAUCUGUAUAUCUUCUUUGGAAAAAUGUCUCUUAAGAUCCUCUGCCCAUUUUUUGAUCAGGUUUUUUUUUGUCAUUGAGUUGUACAAGUUCUUUAUGUACUUUGGAAAUUAACCCCUUGUCAGACAUAUGAUUUGCAAAUAUUUUCUCCCAGUCGGUGGGUUGUGUUUUGUUUUGUUCAUGGUUUCCUUUGCCUUGCAGAAGGUCUUUAGUCUGACGUAGUCAAUUUACUUUUUCUUUUGUUUCCCUUGGCCGAGUAGACAGGGUAUUUGAAAAGAUCCUGCUAAGACUGAUGUCAAAGAGUGUGCUGCCUGUAUUUUAUUCUAGGAGUUUUAUGGUUUCAGGUCUUACAUUCAAGUCUUCAAUCCGUUUUGAGUUAAUUUUCAUAUAUGGUGUAAGAUAAUGGUCUACUUUCAUUCUUUUGCACGUGGCUGUCCAAUUUUCCCAACACCAUUUAUUGAAGAGAAUUUCCUUUCUCCAUUGUAUAUUCUUGGCUCCUUUGUCAAAGAUUAACUGUCCACAGAUGUGUGAGUUUAUUUUUGGGCUUUCAAUUCUGUUCUAUUGCUCUGUGUGUCUAUUUUUGUGCCAGUACCAUGCUGUUUUGAUUACUAUAGCUUUGUAGUACAUUUUGAAGUCAUAUAUUGUGACGCCUGCAGCUUUGUUCUAUUUUCUCAGGAAUGCUUUGGCUAUCUGAGGUCUUCGUUGUUCCAUAUAAAGUUUAGGAUUCUGUGUUCUAUUUCUGUGAAGAUUGUCCUUGGGAUUCUGAUUGAGAUUGCAUUGAAUCUGUAGAUUGCUUUAGGUAAUAUGGACAUUUUAAGUGUUUUUUCUUCCAGUCCAUGAGCAUGGACUAUCUUUCCAUUUCUUUGUCUUCUUUGAUUUCUUUCAAUAAUGUCUUACAGUUUUCAGUGUAUAGGUCUUUCACCUCCUUGGUUAAAUUUAUUCCUAGAUAUUUUAUUCUUUUUCUUGUGAUUGUAAAUGGGAUUGUAUUCUUGACUUCUCUUUCUGCCAGUUCAUUAUUAGUGUAUAGAAAUGCAACUGAUUUUUGCAUGUUGAUUUUGCAUGCUGAAACUUUGCUGUAGCUGUUGAUUAUUUCUAACAGUUUCUUGGUGCAUUCUUUAGGGUUUUCUGAAUAGAGAAUCAUGUCUCAUCUACAAACAGUGAAAGUUUUACUUCUUCCUUUCCAAUUUGGAUAUAUUCUAUUUGUUUUUCUUGCCUAAUUGCUCUGGCCAAAACAUCCAGUACUAUGUUGAAUAGGAGUGGUGAGAGUGGGCACCCUUGUCUUGUUCCUGUUUUCAGAGGAAUGGCUUUCAGUUUUUCACCAUUAAGUAUGAUGUUGGCUGUGGGUUUGUCAUAUAUGGUCUUUAUUAUGUUGAGGAACUUUCCUUCCAUACACAUUUUAUUGAGAGGUUUUUUUUUUUUUAUCAUAAAUGGAUGUUGGAUCUUGUCAAAUGCUUUCUCUGC